CCGAGCCGCCGCCGCGGCGCCCCCGCCGCCCGCUCGGCCGCCCGCGCCGCCGCCCUACCUGGCGAAGCAGUACUCGCAGUGGUUGCCCCGCUCGUUGACCGUGAGCACAUUUCCAAUGACUGAGAAAAACAAUACCCUGGCUACUGAGCUGUCUUUCCAGAGUGGCCGCACCAGCUUGCAUACCCACCAACAACGCAAAAGAGAUCCUCUUUCUCCGGAUCCUCGCCAACAGCUGUAGUUGCCUGAGUUGUUCAUGUUUGCCAUUCUGACAGAGACAGAGCAUGAGCACGGGAGGGGCAGAGAGAGAGGCAGACACAGAAU